rnacentral:rRNA from 1 species
CCUACGUGAGGCUGCAGUGAGGAAUAUUGGUCCAUGUGCGCGAGCCUGACCCAGCCAAGUAGCGUGAAGGCUGACUGCCCUACGGGUUGUAAACUUCUUUUAUAAUGGAAUAAAGUGAGGCACGUGUGCCUUUUUGUAUGUACUUUAUGACUAAGGAUCGGCUAACUCCGUUCCAGCAGCCGCGGUAAUACGGAGGAUCCGAGCGUUAUCCGGAUUUAUUGGGUUUAAAGGGAGCGUAGAUGGGUUGUUAAGUCAGUUGUGAAAGUUUGCGGCUCAACCGUAAAAUUGCAGUUGAAACUGGCAGUCUUGAGUACAGUAGAGGUGGGCGGAAUUCGUGGUGUAGCGGUGAAAUGCUUAGAUAUCACGAAGAACUCCGAUUGCGAAGGCAGCUCACUGGACUGCAACUGACACUGAGGCUCGAAAGUGUGGGUAUCAAACAGGAUUAGAUACCCUUGUAGUC